UCGACGGUAACGCGGACUUCGGUCUGGCGACGAGUGGCGAACGGGUGAGUAAUGCAUCGGAACGUAUCCAUUUGUGGGGGAUAGCCCGGCGAAAGCCGGAUUAAUACCGCAUAAUCUCCGAGGAGGAAAGUGGGGGACCUUCGGGCCUUACGCUGAUGGAGCGGCUGAUGUCGGAUUAGCUUGUUGGUAGGGUAAAGGCCUACCAAGGCGACGAUCCGUAGCUGGUCUGAGAGGACGACCAGCCACACUGGAACUGAGACACGGUCCAGACUCCUACGGGAGGCAGCAGUGGGGAAUUUUGGACAAUGGGGGCAACCCUGAUCCAGCCAUGCCGCGUGCGGGAAGAAGGCCUUCGGGUUGUAAACCGCUUUCAGACGGAAAGAAACAGUGCAAGCUAAUACCUUGUACGAAUGACGGUACCGUCAGAAGAAGCACCGGCUAACUACGUGCCAGCAGCCGCGGUAAUACGUAGGGUGCGAGCGUUAAUCGGAAUUACUGGGCGUAAAGAGUGCGCAGGCGGCUCUCUAAGACAGGUGUGAAAUCCCCGGGCUUAACCUGGGAAUGGCGCUUGUGACUGGAGAGCUAGAGCGUGGCAGAGGGGAAUGGAAUUCCUGGUGUAGCAGUGAAAUGCGUAGAUAUCAGGAGGAACACCGAUGGCGAAGGCAGUUCCCUGGGCCAACACUGACGCUCAUGCACGAAAGCGUGGGGAGCAAACAGGAUUAGAUACCCUGGUAGUCCACGCCGUAAACGAUGACAACUAGCUGUUGUAAGACAAUGUCUUUCAGUGGCGCAGCUAACGCUUUAAGUUGUCCGC
rnacentral:rRNA from 1 species